rnacentral:lncRNA from 1 species
AACUCUAGCUACGUUGACGUGAAGCCGAAAAGGUCGUCGGGUGGAAUCGAUUUAUUAGGGCUGAAGUUCGAUUUUCGGGCUUAUGCAAACGCAAGAUGAGCUAGCGUCGAGGCGAGUUGUGUCACACCGUGCCUGCAAGGGGCAGGUUGACUCUGCCAAUCUGCUUGGCAAGAUGCAUGCAAACGUGGUCUGUUCGGGCCAGUUGACUCAACUCGACUUUUGACUCCACCCGCUUGCGUCGAGCGCAUCUGAACGAAGCUUCCUUUGCGAUAUUUCAUAAGAUGUUUCUCUUCUCUGUUCGCAGCGAGUGCGCCAGAAGCUCAGUAAGUGUUUUAACCUUGUAUACCAGUAAACUGGAUUUCUUUUUGAAACUCCUCCUGCCCGUUCAUCGCUGACUUCACGUUGUUUUACUCUUCUAUAGAACCUCGGAGACGGUUCUCGAAGACUUUCUCACCCGCGAGUCUUCUCGCAUGCUCCACCCGAUGCUGCACCUGGCUUUCGGCUGCGCCUGCCUGCUGGGGCUCGUCGUGGCCUUCACCGUCGGCAUCGUCCUCCUCAUCGUGAAGGUUGCGAGAGCCCGACCGUCUAACACCACAGGUACGUUACGCAAGUUCCGCCGCCUGUGCGCAGCAUUCGUGCGUAUCGACGUUGCAGACGCAUAAUUUGUUAAGCGCGUGCACCACGCGUUUUUCUUUUGUUUUGGAGAACCACAUGGUUUGCAUGACGCCGUUAAUUACGUAUUACAUGCACCAUCCCUACACACCGACAGGCUUCCGUACGUAGUCCAGUAAUUACGCAUGCUUUCCGCAACAUUCCUUGCGGAAUUGACGCUAAGGAUUCCGUGCCAGUUCCGCAUCUUUUCGGAAAGACAUAAUGCGGAAAGCAUGGGAAAUUUGGGACGCGGAACGCUUUGCAAGGAACAAGCUGCAUUAGUUACGUGCAGUGCUGCCAACUCUAGCUAUUUUUCCCAUCUACACGUACUUGAAGUUUGCGCUUUUGGAAGGAGAAUGAAACGUGCUGCAUACAAGACGCUUCUAAUAAUGCUUCAACCCUGGAACACGCACCAGUUAGCCCAAGUUUCUUCUUUAAUUUUUAUUUGAGCUUGCGAAGGCUCCGUAACUUGACAGCCGUUGUCACCAUAGUAGGCUAUACGUCAGUCAUAGACGGCACGCAUGACCUACUUAGACUACUUGAGUUUAGUAUGGGUUAAUUUCAAUGGGCCAGUUGGCUUGGCUUGUCUCUGACGCAUGGUGCAACUCUAUCGUUGCGAUGCAAAACUGAGGACAGAAUGUGAUGGAUUGAGACGCAUCACAACUGUGAGUUAAUAUGAGUUACAUGCACGCAGCAAUGACCUCAUUAGCUUCACUGGUGUCAUAACACAGAAAGC